GAACGAGAAAUGAGGUAGCUAACAUUUGUAUACGGUGAAUAUGUAUAUUGCUUACCAGAAAACAGAUGCAAAAGCACGUGGUGGCAUUACAGCUCAUAUUACGCUACUGAACACACAUAUUUGACAGCAGCUAAAGUCUAGAUUGCAGUCUUCGGGCUGGUGUUGUGUUGAAUCAUAAUAACUGUGCGGAUCGUGCUUUGCGUGAUAAAUCGAUUGAGUUUCUGCCCUAUCAGCUUUGGAUGGUAGGAUAUGGGCGUACGGCGUACCAUGGCAUUAACGGGUAACGGGUAAUCAGGGUUUGAUUCCGGAGAGGGAGCCUUAGAAACGGCUACCACAUUCAAGGAAGGCAGCAGGCGCGUAAAUUACCCACCCGAAGGGUGAAG
rnacentral:ncRNA from 1 species